rnacentral:tRNA from 1 species
UGUGUUGUGGCUCAGUAGUAGAGCGCUUGCCUAGCAUGUGUGAGGCACUGGGUUCGAUUUUCAGCACCACAU